UCCACAUUUCUGAAGCUCAGGUAAGAGCAGAGCCAGCCAGGAGAGAAUGUGGAGGCAGAGGAAGACAAGAGUUCCCUUGGAAGAGCUGUGACUACUAGAAAAGUACUGUCCUGGUGAGUGUACUCUUUUUGUGACUUCUAGAAAAGUACUGUCCUGGAGCCGCUGUGAGCAGUCUUCACCACACCAUUCUCUUGGGCACACAUGGAUGUUUGCUUCAUUCAUUUACCUCCACCUUAAACACAUCCAUUCUCUUACAUUUGCCAUCUCCUCAUUUUUCUUUUGUGAGUAGAAAGCAUCAAUAAUAUAUGCAGGGGCAAGUUAUGCUGUAGGAUGAAACCUGCUUAAUGAUGGCUUCACCACUACCGUAUUUAUCUUCAUUUAUAUUCAUAUUUAUAGGUUAUCUCAUGUGAGAGGCUUAUUUCAGUGUUAGUAAUUUAGCCUUAACAUUUAAAUUCAAUCUUAAACCUCCUACUUCAUUUCCUAAAUUCAGAAUUACAUUUGGCUACAUUAUGCCCAUUUUGACAGUAUUUUGCCGUGUGGAGCGGUGUAAGCCAAGAAGCCAGAUUCAUCAGAACAACUGUUGCAUGUUCUAAAAUCCAGUAAAAUCGGUUUUAGAAUGGGUGGAAAUGUAAUGCUGCCGUUUGGACACAGGAUGGCAGACUAAAAUUGCAGUAUCUGAGAUGGCCACAAGAGGGCAAAAACCCUAAUUUUUUUUUUUUUUUGAAUUGCAGUAUCCUGGAGGGACACCAGAUGGAACCAGAAGACCAUGUUAUUUAAGUCAAUCAGUCAAA
rnacentral:lncRNA from 1 species